rnacentral:rRNA from 1 species
AUUGAACGCUGGCGGCAGGCCUAACACAUGCAAGUCGAACGGUAACAGGAAGAAGCUUGCUUCUUUGCUGACGAGUGGCGGACGGGUGAGUAAUGUCUGGGAAACUGCCUGAUGGAGGGGGAUAACUACUGGAAACGGUAGCUAAUACCGCAUAACGUCGCAAGACCAAAGAGGGGGACCUUCGGGCCUCUUGCCAUCGGAUGUGCCCAGAUGGGAUUAGCUAGUAGGUGGGGUAACGGCUCACCUAGGCGACGAUCCCUAGCUGGUCUGAGAGGAUGACCGGCCACACUGGAACUGGGACACGGUCCAGGCUCCUACGGGAGGCAGCAGUGGGGAAUAUUGCACAAUGGGCGCAAGCCUGAUGCAGCCAUGCCGCGUGUAUGAAGAAGGCCUUCGGGUUGUAAAGUACUUUCAGCGGGGAGGAAGGGAGUAAAGUUAAUACCUUUACUCAUUGACGUUACCCGCAGAAGAAGCACCGGCUAACUCCGUG